rnacentral:lncRNA from 1 species
AAAAAAGAAAAGACAACAUUAGACAUACACAAAGGUCUUAACAGAAAACAUACCUGGGAAUCCUCAAUCUGCGUCGCGCCCUGCUAGAAAAAAAGAAAAGGACAACAUUAGACAUACACAAAGGUCUUAACAGAAAACAUACCUGAAAAUCCUCAAUCUGCGACGCGCCCUGCUAGAAAAAAAGAAAAGACAACAUUAGACAUACACAAAGGUCUUAACAGAAAACAUACCUGCGAAUCCUCAAUCUGCGUCGCGC